rnacentral:tRNA from 1 species
UGGAAGAUUAGCUCAGUUGGGAGAGCAUCUGCCUUACAAGCAGAGGGUCACAGGUUCGAGCCCUGUAUCUUCCAUC